rnacentral:tRNA from 1 species
GGCCUCGUAGCUCAACUGGUAGAGCGUGCGCGUACACAGCGUAGGCGGCAUCAAUGGGUGGGUUCGAAUCCCAUCGAGGAUA